GCCCCGCGGCGCGCGCCGGCUCCGCCAAGAGCGUGGGGUUGCCGUGGCAACCAGUGCGGACUGCCCUAGGGAUCCUCUGGAAUAGAAUUCCCCGGCCAGCUGCGCUCUGUCUUGGGUUCCCUAUCUGGAGUGACUUAGAGGAGAGAAGCAGUGUGGUGCAGUGGGCCAUCUGACUUCAUGGAUCAGACAAAGGGAAUCGUUGCCUUCUACAUCCAGAUGUUGGCCCCUAAACGGCACACCUCUGCAUGUUCAACAGCAGUGGCAGCAGCUUCAGCAAACAUCAGCAUCACAGUUGCCAUUCAGCAGAUUGGAAAUUACCAGAGUCAUAUCUAAUAACUGCAGUGAGAUAAACCAGCAUAUGACAAUAGACACCCAGGAAGUUGAGGCCAGAAGGAAUAAAAUGUUCCCUAGACACUUUAAUCCUGGUUGUGUUUUCUGCCUUGACAAAAUUGCUGAAAUGGAAGAAAUUGAAACUCAGAAUUCUGCACCCAGAGCUAUAUAGCUGGUAAAUGUCAGUGCCUGGAUUAAAAUAACUAAUCAUCAGGAUCAUGAUCAUUAAGAUUGAUGACAUUUAUGUGUACAUACUGAUGAUCACAACUGGGACGAUGACCUUCCAUAUGUUAUUUAUUCCAACAACAACUUCUUGAGUUAGUCACAUCAUGCCCAUUCUACAUAUGAAGAAAGUAAAUUUUGAAGGUUAAAGGGCUCCAUCAAAGUCGUAUGAUGGGCAUGCAGCAGCUCUGGAAUUUUAACUAGGAUAUGAAGGAUUAUUCUGCCCUCACCCAUUCUACCAAGCCUCUGAAAACAGAUUUCUCAUGUCCUGCCCUAUGCCUGCCUCAACUGAUAUGUUUCAAUCAAGCAUGUGAGAGGGUAAGUUCCAUUUCCCACUCUUGCCCCCAAGGGUCUGACUAAUGCUGCUCUCUUCAAAGAACUGCUAACAUCUCUAGUUUAAGCAAUGUGCAAAAUAACUGAUUCAAAUAAAAUCUCUUUCCCCGAG